rnacentral:rRNA from 1 species
GAUGAACGCUGGCGGCGUGCUUAACACAUGCAAGUCGAACGGGAAAUAUUUCAUUGAGACUUCGGUGGAUUUGAUUUAUUUCUAGUGGCGGACGGGUGAGUAACGCGUGGGUAACCUGCCUUAUACAGGGGGAUAACAGUCAGAAAUGGCUGCUAAUACAGCAUAAGCGCACAGAGCUGCAUGGCUCAGUGUGAAAAACUCCGGUGGUAUAAGAUGGACCCGCGUUGGAUUAGCUAGUUGGUGGGGUAACGGCCCACCAAGGCGACGAUCCAUAGCCGGCCUGAGAGGGUGAACGGCCACAUUGGGACUGAGACACGGCCCAGACUCCUACGGGAGGCAGCAGUGGGGAAUAUUGCACAAUGGGGGAAACCCUGAUGCAGCGACGCCGCGUGAAGGAAGAAGUAUCUCGGUAUGUAAACUUCUAUCAGCAGGGAAGAUAGUGACGGUACCUGACUAAGAAGCCCCGGCUAACUACGUG